GACGAACGCUGGCGGCGUGCUUAACGCAUGCAAGUCGAACGGAAAGGCCCUGCUCUUGUGGGGUGCUCGAGUGGCGAACGGGGGAGUAACACGCGAGUAACCUGUCCUUGACAUUGGGAUAACUUCAGGAAACUGGGGCUAUUACCGGAUAGGAGAUCCUGCUGCAUGGUGGGGGUUGGAAAGAUUCGGCGGUUGGGGAUGGACACGCGGCUUAUCAGCUUGUUGGUGGGGUAGUGGCGUACCAAGGCUCUGACGGGUAGCCGGCCUGCGAGGGUGACCGGCCACAGUGGGACUGAGAUACGGCCCAGACUCCUACGGGAGGCAGCGGUGGGGAAUAUUGCACAAUGGGCGGAAGCCUGAUGCAGCAACGCCGCGUGCGUGAUGACGGCCUUCGGGUUGUAAACCGCUUUCGCCUGUGACGAAGCGUGAGUGACGGUAAUGGGUAAAGAAGCACCGGCUAACUACGUG
rnacentral:rRNA from 1 species